rnacentral:rRNA from 1 species
UUGAUCCUGGCUCAGAAAUGAACGCUGGCGGCGUGCCUAACACAUGCAAGUCGAACGAGCGAGAGAUGAAACCUAGUGAUUCUCGAGCGAGUGGCGGACGGGUGAGUAACGCGUGGGUAACCUGCCUUACAGAGGGGGAUAACAGUUUGAAAAGACUGCUAAUACCGCAUAAGCACACAGUACCGCAUGGUGCAGGGUGAAAAGAUUUAUCACUGUAAGAUGGACCCGCGUCUGAUUAGCCAGUUGGCAGGGUAACGGCCUACCAAAGCGACGAUCAGUAGCCGACCUGAGAGGGUGAUCGGCCACAUUGGGACUGAGACACGGCCCAAACUCCUACGGGAGGCAGCAGUGGGGGAUAUUGCACAAUGGAGGAAACUCUGAUGCAGCGACGCCGCGUGAGUGAAGAAGUAUUUCGGUAUGUAAAGCUCUAUCAGCAGGGAAGAUAAUGACAGUACCUGACCAAGAAGCCCCGGCUAACUACGUGCCAGCAGCCGCGGUAAUACGUAGGGGGCAAGCGUUAUCCGGAUUUACUGGGUGUAAAGGGAGCGUAGACGGAAUCGCAAGUCUGAAGUGAAAUCCCCGGGCUCAACCCGGGAACUGCUUUGGAAACUGCGAGUCUGGAGUGUCGGAGAGGUAAGCGGAAUUCCUGGUGUAGUAGUGAAAU